rnacentral:lncRNA from 1 species
AUGGAUUCUGUGAGGAUGAACUAUCUGUUAAAGAGGAUGGUCUUAAGACUAUUUCAGAGGAUGGAGAUAUAAGAAAAUUAAGUAAUUUGGAUGCUAAAGCCUUGUCUGUUGAGAUGAAGUUUCUCCUUCACAUUGUGACCAAGUUAUUCUUUCCUAGAGCAGGUAGACAUGAUUUCAUUUCUAGGAGAGAUAUUUGUGUGAUGCAUCAUAUUGUGAGUGAGACACCUCUCAAUCUCC